ACGUCAGUGGCUCAAUUGGUAGAGCAGCGGUCUCCAAAACCGCAGGUUGGGGGUUCGAGUCCCUCCUGACGUG
rfam:Ignavibacteria bacterium CG2_30_36_16 cg2_3.0_scaffold_335_c, whole genome shotgun sequence.